GUAACAAGGUCUCCGUUGGUGAACCAGCGGAGGGAUCAUUACCGAGUUUACAACUCCCAAACCCCUGUGAACAUACCUAUACGUUGCCUCGGCGGAUCAGCCCGCGCCCCGUAAAACGGGACGGCCCGCCCGAGGACCCCUAAACUCUGUUUUUAGUGGAACUUCUGAGUAAAACAAACAAAUAAAUCAAAACUUUCAACAACGGAUCUCUUGGUUCUGGCAUCGAUGAAGAACGCAGCAAAAUGCGAUAAGUAAUGUGAAUUGCAGAAUUCAGUGAAUCAUCGAAUCUUUGAACGCACAUUGCGCCCGCCAGUAUUCUGGCGGGCAUGCCUGUUCGAGCGUCAUUUCAACCCUCAAGCUCAGCUUGGUGUUGGGACUCGCGGUAACCCGCGUUCCCCAAAUCGAUUGGCGGUCACGUCGAGCUUCCAUAGCGUAGUAAUCAUACACCUCGUUACUGGUAAUCGUCGCGGCCACGCCGUUAAACCCCAACUUCUGAAUGUUGACCUCGGAUCAGGUAGGAAUACCCGCUGAACUUAAGCAUAUCAAUAAGCGGAGGAAAAGAAACCAACAGGGAUUGCCCUAGUAACGGCGAGUGAAGCGGCAACAGCUCAAAUUUGAAAUCUGGCUCUCGGGCCCGAGUUGUAAUUUGUAGAGGAUGCUUUUGAUGCGGUGCCUUCCGAGUUCCCUGGAACGGGACGCCAUAGAGGGUGAGAGCCCCG
rnacentral:misc_RNA from 1 species